CUCCAGCUGUUUCUCAGGCUGAGUUCUGUCCCUGUCCCCACACAGAACACAGGACAGAGGGAGGCUCUUAGGAUGUUGUGCUCCGCGGGGCUCAGACGAAAUCUUCUGUGAAUGGAAGAAAUGCUUCCAAGCAAACAGCCACUACCAGAACAACUGUGUGACCAGGAGAAAGAGGCCAGAGCACGAGUUCUCAAACCCUGAAGUCGCAGGAGCCCGAGGGGGAUAUUGGAGAGAAGAGGGCCGCUCACCCUCCCUGGACCUCAGUUUCCAGCCCAGGACAACCUCUCAGUUCCCAAAGGCCCUCUGAGAGAACUGCAGAAGUGGCUGAGCCAUCACCCAGCUGAACUGUCAGGUGGAGGGUUUUGAGAAGAGGACAGGAGCCAGAUCAAACAAGCAGGCCAUUUGGAGGUGGGAAAGGUUUUAAGUUUCCUCCUGGGCUCCUACCAUCACGGCCACGCCCACUGCCCUGAUAAGACCCUUGUGAUUAUUGUUCUGAGGCUGCUGGACAGGCAUCUACUGGGAUGAGGAGAGAGAGAGAGAGAGAGAGAAAAGCAGCUGCUGGGAGGACCAGGUGCUCGCAAAGGUGAGAGAUGAUAUAGGUGAAGGGCCAUGGCUGGGACAGGGAGGGGGAUUGCAAAGAAAGAGACAAAAAGAGGCAGAGAGAGGGAGUGAGGUCCAGAAGCCAGCGGGAGGAACAGGCAGGGAAUAGGGCCCCAUGCGGCCCAGGGGCCCAGAAGGCACAGAAGCAGAGCUGAAGACAGACAGACAUAUGCUGCUCAGA
rnacentral:lncRNA from 1 species